rnacentral:rRNA from 1 species
GACGAACGCUGGCGGCGUGCUUAACACAUGCAAGUCGAACGGAAAGGCCCUGUUCUUGUGGGGUGCUCGAGUGGCGAACGGGUGUGUAACAUGUGUGUAAUCUGCCCUUGAUUUUGGGAUCACUUCAGGAAACUGGGGCUAAUACCGGAUAGGAUCUCCUGCUGCAUGGUGGGGGUUGGAGAGUUUGGGGGGUGGGGUAUGGACUCGCGGCUUCUCGGCUUGUUGGGGGGGUAGUGGUUUACCAAGGCUUUCACGGGUAGCCGGCCUGAGGGGGUGACCGGCCACAUUGGACUUGGAUUCCGGCCAGGACUCCAACGGGGGGCAGAGGUGGGGAAUUUGGCACAAUGGGGGGAGGCCUAAUGCGGCAACGCCGGGUCGGGAAUGCCGGCCUUCGGGUUGUAACCCGUUUUGGCCAGGACCGAGGCGUGUGUGACGGUAAUGAGUAAAGAAGCACCGGCUAACUACGUG